rnacentral:rRNA from 1 species
UACGUAGGCAGCAAGCGUUGUUCGGAAUUACUGGGCGUAAAGAGUGUGUAGGCGGUGCUCUAAGUUCGGUGUGAAAUCUCCCGGCUUAACUGGGAGGGUGCGCCGGAAACUGGAGUGCUCGAGCGUGGGAGAGGAAAGCGGAAUUCCUGGUGUAGCGGUGAAAUGCGUAGAUAUCAGGAGGAACACCUGCGGUGUAGACGGCUUUCUGGACCAUUGCUGACGCUGAGACACGAAAGCGUGGGGAGCGAACAGG